rnacentral:ncRNA from 2 species
CAUCUGGAAAGAGGCCCUCGACCGUGUGCGGUCAGGGUCCGCCGACGGGAUAAUACUCUCAGGCACAGCGACAGAUG